rnacentral:lncRNA from 1 species
CACUCCUUUUCCCUUACACAAGGGAAAAAAGGUCAUGACACAGAAGAUAGAUAUACUAAACCAUAUGUUCCCUUCUGUUUCUGUGAGUGGAAGAGAGCAGACAGCUGCACAUCCCAGCAACGGGAUAGAUCCACAGUAAGGAUUGCCAACUCGACACUGCCUUUCAGUGCUACACUGAAACAAUUCUCUAACUCUGGAAGGACCAACGUAUGCCAUACCCCUGUGAUGAUUUGGCAUUCCUUUCUUUGUAAGGCAGAGAAUCGUCCUCCAAUGUUGAUGUCAUCCUUGCCAGAUUCUGUGAGUUUAUUUCAAUGACUUUGCCAGGGCAGAUAGCAGGGAACAGUCAGUAAUGCUUGCUGCUGACAGUGAUUAUAUUCUACAUGAUUUUCACUAGAAACACAGUUUUUUUGCUGGUAUCCCAUUGAGCUGGAGAUACGAACAGCAGGAUACUUCAUCUUGAAAAGAUGUGCAGGCAAAUAGUUUGAGAAAGGAGCAAGGAGCUUUGCAGUCUGAAGCUGCCAGUACUUCUUGUUUUUCUGCUGUAAGGGAUAGUUCUUCUUAACCACAGCUAACUAUUAAUUUUAACUUGAAGCAUGAGGGUACAUAGUCCCUUUGACAAUAAUUUUUAUAAAGUGGAGAACACUGCUAGGAAAUGAACUCAGUCUACUCAUGUAGGCCACGAAGCCAUGGCUUUUCUGAUAUGUUCAGGUUCACAAAUGAUUUAAUUCCCUUGAGUUUCCUUGACAUUUUUAAUUAACAUUUCCUGUGUUGGUACUCCGAUUUUAUUGAAAAUGACAAAGAUUUCUUGGCACUUAGUUGUUUUUUUUUUUUUUAAACCAGGGCUGCUUUAUAACCAUCAUGUAGUGUAAGAGAACUCUGAAGUAAGUGUAAAUGACAUCACUUUAACAAUGUAAAGGAAACUUUGGUGGCUAUGAGAGUAUUUGUAUUUCUUUUUUUUUUUCUUUUUUUUUUUUAAAUUUCAGCUUUGUGUGUAACUGAAGACAGGAUGACAAGCAAGGGGAAUUUCUGCAUUCUUUAAAGGAAAUUAUUUUCAGAUAUGAGUACUACCGACAUUGUCAAGAGACCUGUCAAGCAUUAUUUUCAGAAUUUUUCUGUGGCAUCUCUUUUACUCUAUGGACCUCCUUCUGUAGGAAGGAGAUAUCAAAAAAGGAAAACCUGAAAAGCUGGAAAAACGAGAUACUUGCUGGUG